GGCGGCCUUUUAGCCAUUGUUUCGUUCGAUUUGACAUCAAGUUGUCCCGUGUGUAAAAUAUGGUCAAGUCGACGGCAAUUUGGUUAGAUUGACGCGUUGGCGUGUGAUUGGCUAAUUGAAUGUAUGUGUUGGCUGGCUCCCUGCUCGCGCAGCGAACUGUUGCCGCAUACAUAUUUCAGUCGAAUCGGUGACGUGUUUGUCGGAUUUUUGUGUUGCCAACCCAAAUGAUGGAAUUCUAAUGACCCGGUUGCGUUAGCUUUGCCGAGCGCCCCUUGAGGUGCUAGGCGGGACGGUUGUGCUGCCCCUUGUUUCACCAUGCUCUUCCCUUUUUGGGAACCAAGGAAAAUUUGGUGGUGUUGCUUGUUGCCUCGGAUGCGGAGCGCGAAGCGAGCAUGAUGCCCGUCAUCAUUCGCUCAUUCGGAGCUCUCGAUUGCUCGGAAAGAGAGAUUGCCGGCUGGGUUUUGGCUUUCGACUCGUCGAACCAGCUCAAAACCUCGCCGUCAUCUUCAAUGAAUGCUACCUGGUUGAUCCUGCCAGUAGUCAUAUGCUUGUCUCAAAGAUUAAGCCAUGCAUG
rnacentral:misc_RNA from 1 species